GAUAAUGUAGUUUAAGUUUAAAAUUCCUAUCUUACACGUAGGAGAUGGGUGUUAGUGUCCUGUUAUCA
rnacentral:tRNA from 1 species